GCCAAGAAGCACAUAAUCUUGGAGUAACAGUUACACCAACCGUAAUCAUCAAACCGGAUCUAAAUCUACCAGCUGUGACGGUGUCUUGUGAGAUUACCACCAGUGGUGUUUAUACUAUUAUAGGUCAUGGUGUAGCUGACAGAACGCACGUAACAGGUUAUGAAGCAGCUAGAAGUUUUGUGGGAACGAUAAAUUACAAUAUUGAUCUGCAACAAAUCAUAAAUAUAGUUGAUGCCUCGGCUGAAUGUGAACAGUAUAUAAAAUUUGAAUGUCAUGGUGUUGAAAUAACUGUAGAUGUUGGGUUAAAUACACGUACUGGUACAUUAGCAACUUAUUUAAUUGGGGGAGUCAAGGGUCAGAAUGAUUGUGCUUGUCACCUUAAUAAUGCCUGUGUUGAUGAUUUAAAAUGUAAUUGUGAAAAGAAUGAUGCUGUAUCAAGAGUCGAUGAGGGAUAUAUUCGAUAUAAAGAAGACCUGCCAAUUACUGCUAUCUUGGUCGGUGAUACGGGAGACAGUCAUGAGUACGCAUAUUAUACAAUCGGUAAUCUGAAGUGUAGAGGAUAAUUAGAAGAUAAAGUUGGGUUAAAGGAACAACAACCGAGAUCGUUGGCAAUAAUAUAGAUCUCUAUAAAGUUAACAUAUGUAAUUAAGCCCAU